rnacentral:piRNA from 1 species
UGCAGGAGCCAGGAGGCCGAAGUGCAUCU